rnacentral:rRNA from 1 species
AUUGAACGCUGGCGGCAUGCUUUACACAUGCCAGUCGAACGGCAGCGCGGGCUUCGGCCUGGCGGCGAGUGGCGAACGGGUGAGUAAUACAUCGGAACGUGCCCAGUAGUGGGGGAUAGCUCGGCGAAAGCCGGAUUAAUACCGCAUACGACCUGAGGGUGAAAGCGGGGGAUCUUCGGACCUCGCGCUAUUGGAGCGGCCGAUGGCAGAUUAGCUAGUUGGUGGGGUAAAGGCCUACCAAGGCGACGAUCUGUAGCUGGUCUGAGAGGACGACCAGCCACACUGGGACUGAGACACGGCCCAGACUCCUACGGGAGGCAGCAGUGGGGAAUUUUGGUCAAUGGGCGAAAGCCUGAUCCAGCAAUGCCGCGUGUGUGAUGAAGGCCUUCGGGUUGUAAAGCACUUUUGGCGGGAACGAAAAGGACUGUGCCAAUACCACGGUUCGAUGACGGUACCCGCAGAAUAAGCACCGGCUAACUACGUG